rnacentral:lncRNA from 13 species
AAAUAUCCCAAACCCCAACGAUUUGGUCUUAAAAACAGAGAAAGAAUCCCAAAUCCCGAAUUUCUGCUCAUAAAACCAGGGAAAACGACCCCAAAAAUCCCAAAUCCCAACAAUCUGCCCUUAAAACAGGGAAAAGAAUCCCAAAAACAUCCCAAAUCCCAAAGAUUCGCUGGUAAAAACAGGGAAAACAACCCCAAAAUAUCCCAAACCCCCAAAUCCCAACGAUUUGAUCUUAAAAACAGGGAAAAGAAUCCCAAAAAUCCCAAAUCCCAAAGAUCCACUGGUAAAAACAGGGAAAACAACCCCAAAUCCCAAACUUCUGCUCAUAAAAACAGGGAAAAUGACCCCAAAAAUCCCAAAUCCCAACGAUUUGAUCUUAAAACAGGGAAAGAAUCCCAGAUCCCAAACUUCUGCUCAUAAAACCAGGGAAAACAACCCCAAAAAUCCCAAAUCCCAGGAAAAUCCAUCAAGGGACAACGAUCCACUCAUAAAACCAGGGAAAACAACCCCAAAUCCCAAACUUCUGCUCAUAAAACCAGGGAAAACAACCCCAAAUCCCAAAUUUCUGCUCAUAAAAACAGGGAAAAUGACCCCAAAUUAUGCCAAAUCCCCAAAUCCCAACGAUUUGAUCUUAAAAACAGGGAAAAGAAUCCCAAAAAAAUCCCAAAUCCCAAAGAUCCACUCGUAAAACCAGGGAAAACAACCCCAAAUCCCAAACUUCUGCUCAUAAAAACAGGGAAAAUUACCCCAAAAAUCCCAAAUCCCAAUGAUCUGAUCUUAAAACCAGGGAAAACAACCCCAAAUCCCAAACUUCUGCUCAUAAAAACAGGCAAAACGACCCCAAAAAUCCCAAAUCCCGACGAUUUCCCCAUAAAAAACCAGGGGGAACAAUCCCCAAAUCCCCGAGCUCUGUCUAGACAGGAAUCCCAGGAAUAUUUUUAAGGAAAAAAGGGCGGGAUUUGGGUUUUUGAGGAGUCCCUGGAAGCUUUUCCUGAGGAAUUUCAACGCUUGGAAAAAAAGGGAAGAGGGGGAGGAGGGAAAAAACCCGGGAUUUUGGAGGGAUUUGGGGUUUUUGGGGAUUUCCUGGGAGCAGCAUGUGGCUCAUUUUGUCGGGAAUUAGGGAUUCCCACUCGGGGUCGUUCCCAUUUCCAGGGAAAUCCCUGAGCAAACGCCGCCUUUGGGGUUUUUAAUCCUUUUCCCAAUCAAAAUUCCGGCGGCUCCCGCGGGUCCCAGCUGCUCCCGGGCUCCGCUGAUCCCAUCCCAAUUAAAAACCGGGAUAAUUGCCCGGAAAUCCCGGGAUCUGGAGCACGAGGAGGGGGCAUCGAACACCCCAAAUUCCCGGGGUUUUUUUUGGUGGGAGCUGCAGCGCUGAUUCCCGGCUCCUUUGAUCCCAAAUUCUGUCGAAUCCCAAACUUUAAAAUGCGGAGUUUUAGCCCGAAAAAGUUGGAGCAGAGGGAAAUGAUCCCGAUGAUCCCAUUUUUUUUUUUUUUGCCUGGAUCUGGGGGGGUUUUGCCUCAAAAAUGAACAUUUUCCUCUCUUUUCGGUGUUUUUCCCCCUUUUUUGGAGGGAAAAAUGCUCAUUUUGGGGGAAAAAUGUUGAUUUUGGGGGGAAAAGGGGGGGGAAAGGGUGAAAAAUGGGGAGAUUUGGGGAAAAAACGGGGAUUUGGGGGGAAAAGGGGGGGAAUUGGGGAAAAAAAGGGGAUUUGGGGGGAAAAAGAGGUGAAAAUGGGGAGAUUUGGGGAAAAAACGGGGAUUUGGGGGUU